ensembl:lncRNA
AAAAGGCCUGAUCUCAUCUGACCUCGGAAGCAAAGCAGAGUUUGGGCCUGUUAGUACUUGGUUGGGAGACUGAAUGGGAAUACUAGGUGCUGUAAGCUUUUUAUUUGGAUCAGUGUUUCAUGGCCUCUGCACAAAAUCCUGUUUUGGGAUAAAGGUUGGACACAGGUUUGAAGGGGACCCAAUCAAUCAAUCAAUCAGUCAGUCAGUCAGUCAGUCAGUCAGUCAGUCUUUUGAUUACACUAUUUAAAUAGCCCCAUUUGGGGUCAGCUUUCGCUUACGGCCAUACCACUCUGAAAAAGCCUGAUCUCAUCUGACCUCGGAAGCAAAGCAGAGUUGGGCCUGGUUAGUACUUGGUUGGGAGACUGAAUGGGAAUACUAGGUGCUGUAAGCUUUUUAUUUGGAUCAGUGUUUUCAUGGCCUCUGCACAACAUCCUGUUUUGGGAUAAAGGUUGGACACAGGUUUGAAGGGGACCCAAUCAAUCAAUCAAUCAGUCAGUCAGUCAGUCAUCUUUUUGAUUACACUAUUUAAAUAGCCCCCAUUUGGGGUCAGCUUUCGCUUACGGCCAUACCACUCUGAAAAAGCCUGAUCUCAUCUGACCUCGGAAGCAAAGCAGAGUUGGGCCUGGUUAGUACUUGGUUGGGAGACUGAAUGGGAAUACUAGGUGCUGUAAGCUUUUUAUUUGGAUCAGUGUUUUCAUGGCCUCUGCACAACAUCCUGUUUGGGAUAAAG